rnacentral:rRNA from 1 species
CCUACGGGUGGCAGCAGUGAGGAAUAUUGGUCAAUGGACGAGAGUCUGAACCAGCCAAGUAGCGUGAAGGAUGACUGCCCUAUGGGUUGUAAACUUCUUUUAUAUGGGAAUAAAACGUUCCACGUGUGUGAUUUUGUAUGUACCAUAUGAAUAAGGAUCGGCUAACUCCGUGCCAGCAGCCGCGGUAAUACGGAGGAUCCGAGCGUUAUCCGGAUUUAUUGGGUUUAAAGGGAGCGUAGGUGGAUUGUUAAGUCAGUUGUGAAAGUUUGCGGCUCAACCGUAAAAUUGCAGUUGAAACUGGCAGUCUUGAGUACAGUAGAGGUGGGCGGAAUUCGUGGUGUAGCGGUGAAAUGCUUAGAUAUCACGAAGAACUCCGAUUGCGAAGGCAGUUCACUGGACUGCAACUGACACUGAGGCUCGAAAGUGUGGGUAUCAAACAGGAUUAGAUACCCCUGUAGUC